rnacentral:rRNA from 1 species
UACAGAGGGGGCGAGCGUUGUCCGGAAUUACUGGGCGUAAAGAGCUCGUAGGUGGUUUGUCGCGUUGUUCGUGAAAACUCACAGCUCAACUGUGGGCGUGCGGGCGAUACGGGCAGACUUGAGUACUGCAGGGGAGACUGGAAUUCCUGGUGUAGUGGUGGAAUGCGCAGAUAUCAGGAGGAACACCGGUGGCGAAGGCGGGUCUCUGGGCAGUAACUGACGCUGAGGAGCGAAAGCGUGGGGAGCGAACAGG